rnacentral:rRNA from 1 species
GACAGAGGUGGCAAGCGUUGUUCGGAUUCAUUGGGUGUAAAGGGUCCGUAGGCGGUCAGGCAAGUCCGGCGUGAAAUCCCAUGGCUCAACCGUGGAACUGCGUUGGAAACUGCCUGACUUGAGUACCGGAGAGGUGAAGGGAAUUCUCGGUGUAAGGGUGAAAUCUGUAGAUAUCGAGAGGAACACCAGUGGCGAAGGCGCUUCACUGGCCGGUUACUGACGCUCAGGGACGAAAGCAAGGGGAGCAAACAGG